GUGACAACCGGGGGAACAGACGGAACACAGGUUACUGAACACAAAACAGACCAGAGUGAACACUUAACAUGAACUAAGGUACAGGACUGGGAACAAGGACAAAGAACUAAAACGCAGGAACAAGAGUUAAGGCAGUGAUUAAGAAACCAUAUAACAAGUAGACUACCAAACCAAUAUCAAAACAACACAGGACUACGAGCUAGAACACCAGACAAGACAUAAACACUAAGGACAAGGAAACAAGAAGAACAGAGUUUCCAGCAGAGCCAGAGGUCGUCUACUCUUCACUGAGGUAGACCUUCACACCUUCACACCAGUCCAACCACUGAUGUCCUGCUGGCCUGGAACUGGUCCCCAGAGCCCCUCACACCUCAGCACAUCCAUUUAUUAGAUUUCCGUCUUAAAGCUAAAUUAGCAAAUAAAUUGUUAAAAUCUA